UGGGGGAUAUUGCGCAAUGGGGGCAACCCUGACGCAGCAACGCCGCGUGAAGGAUGAAGGUUUUCGGAUUGUAAACUUCUUUUAUUAAGGACGAAAAAUGACGGUACUUAAUGAAUAAGCUCCGGCUAACUACGUGCCAGCAGCCGCGGUAAUACGUAGGGAGCAAGCGUUGUCCGGAUUUACUGGGUGUAAAGGGUGCGUAGGCGGCUUUGCAAGUCAGAUGUGAAAUCUAUGGGCUCAACCCAUAAACUACAUUUGAAACUGUAGAGCUUGAGUGAAGUAGAGGCAGGCGGAAUUCCCCGUGUAGCGGUGAAAUGCGUAGAGAUGGGGAGGAACACCAGUGGCGAAGGCGGCCUGCUGGGCUUUAACUGACGCUGAGGCACGAAAGCGUGGGUAGCAAACAGGAUUAGAUACCCUGGUAGUCCACGCUGUAAACGAUGAUUACUAGGUGUGGGGGGUCUGACCCCUUCCGUGCCGGAGUUAACACAAUAAGUAAUCCACCUGGGGAGUACGGCCGCAAGGUUGAAACUCAAAGGAAUUGACGGGGGCCCGCACAAGCAGUGGAGUAUGUGGUUUAAUUCGAAGCAACGCGAAGAACCUUACCAGGUCUUGACAUCCAACUAACGAAGUAGAGAUACAUUAGGUGCCCUUCGGGGAAAGUUGAGACAGGUGGUGCAUGGUUGUCGUCAGCUCGUGUCGUGAGAUGUUGGGUUAAGUCCCGCAACGAGCGCAACCCUUGCUAUUAGUUGCUACGCAAGAGCACUCUAAUAGGACUGCCGUUGACAAAACGGAGGAAGGUGGGGACGACGUCAAAUCAUCAUGCCCCUUAUGACCUGGGCUACACACGUACUACAAUGGAUGUUAACAGAGGGAAGCAAGACAGCGAUGUGGAGCAAACCCCUAAAAACAUUCUCAGUUCAGAUUGCAGGCUGCAACCCGCCUGCAUGAAGAUGGAAUUGCUAGUAAUCGCGGAUCAGCAUGCCGCGGUGAAUACGUUCCC
rnacentral:rRNA from 2 species